AGAUGUGUAGGAAAGCUGGUUAAGACAUCUGUCACUCUGUUGAUCUCUAGGGUUGACUUCACUGAUCUGAUGGGCUAGGCAGGUGACCCCAUCCUCCUCCAUUGCUCUCUGUGUGCCCUUCCUAAUGCCACUUGGGCCUUCCAUGGAGCAGACAGAUCAGUUCUUUACUCUAGAUUAUACAAACAGCUAGUCUCCCUGAUUAAAACCUCCAAACAAGGUCUCAGUACUUACUUCCUUACUAUUACUAUUUACUAACUCAUCAUUUCAAGAUUUUGUCAUUGUUGCUGCAUAUUUGAGUAGCACAUUUUGCA
rnacentral:snRNA from 1 species